rnacentral:lncRNA from 1 species
GAAAUAGCCUGGCGAAGGGAGCUCACUUGAGCUUAAGAAGUAUGCAAAGUUUGUUUUGAAGCUUGUUGGCUUCACUUUCUCUGCACGGGUGUGGUUCUUGCUAGUGGAGUGAGCUGUGUGUUAACUGAUAUGCUAUGUAUUUAUAAGUGGAUUCCGUAGACAAUGGAAAUUAUGAAGGUUGAAAUUUGUGUAGGGAGUUGGAAGGAAAGUCAGCUGCAAAUCUACACUUUUGAAAAAAAUAAGAUUUGCUAGAAAUCUGCAAAUCUUUGAAGUCAGAAAUCUUGAAUUGGAGGGGAAGGUUGAGCAUGCCAUCUUUGAAAAUUUUGUUUCUUUCGUGAUCUUCUUUUCCUCAUAUCUUGGCUUUUUGGAUUGCAUGGAAGAUAUUGAGACCUUGAAAAACUUGUUGCAGUAUGAUGUUGCGUUGAAGGAGAAGGUGGAAUAGUGUAGGAAUUGA